rnacentral:lncRNA from 1 species
AUGUACUCAGAAGCGGAGACAGAGGAACCUGCAGGCAGCCUGGGCAUUCCCAGUGCCUAUUUCUUAACCGAACCCGAGCAGAAGGCGCUGCUCGCGCCCGCUAACGGUCUCCUGCCGCGCCGUGCCGCGCCGCCCCUCCCCCCGCAGCAGCCGUUACGCCCCAACCGCCGCCAGCGGUGCCACCGCGCCCGCGGGGCGCCCCGCGGACAAUGCCCGGCCCUCACGACAGUGCAGCGCGAGGCGCGGAGGCUGCAGAGCAUCGUACCGGGCGACACACAGUGCGGUCCCGCCCGGAAAAACGCCGGCGUCGUCAUCUGCUGUGCAGCAUCUCCCAAGUUGCAAACACGCCACACCAACGCCCCGCUUCGCCGCCGGCGCGGCUCCGGGACCGGCGACUCACCUAACGCCCCGGGCAAAGUUCACCGCCUCGGUCCUCGCUGCGGGCGGAGAGCACCGCCGCGUCCGCCGCCCGCGGCGCGCCCUCCCGCCGCCGGGGCCGCGGCCCAGGCGCCGAGGAGGGCAGGAGCGAGCAUCUCCCCGCCCGCUCGCUCAGCCGCUGCGAGCCGCGCCGCCGCCGCCUCGCACCACGCUUGCGGGACGCCUCAGCCGCGGCGCCGGCGGCGGCUGCUCCCGUGCGCGCCGCCGGGGGGAGGGGGCGCGGCAGCCCCCGCCCCGCCCCCGCCUUUGUUACCCUGCGGGACAGAGGCCAGGCGUGAGCAAUCGCAGCCCGAGCGAGGGGCGCGGCGGGGCGGCUCGGCUCGGCUCGGCUCCCGGCUCCGCACGCUGGCAACACGUCGAAGCGGCGGCAGGAGGGCGCCGCGCUCCCGCCCCCUCAGCCCGGCUCGCAGCUCGGGGCGGCAGCGGCCGGUGCGCGGACAGGCCCGCGCCCUCCGCGGGCGGGCGGGCGGCAGCGCCGCGGUCGGUACCCUGCCGGGCCGCGCGGCUCUGGGCGCGCAGCCUACGCACCUGCGCUUGCCUUUCAGCGUUCGGUUCUCUGCACCGCUGGCUGGGUUUGAAAGAACCCUUCGGACAUAA